UACGUAGGGUGCGAGCGUUAAUCGGAAUUACUGGGCGUAAAGCGUGCGCAGGCGGCCUUCCAAGUCAGGGGUGAAAGCCCAGAGCUCAACUCUGGAAUUGCCUUUGAGACUGUGAGGCUUGAGUACGGGAGAGGUGAGUGGAAUUCCCAGUGUAGAGGUGAAAUUCGUAGAUAUUGGGAAGAACACCGGUGGCGAAGGCGGCUCACUGGCCCGAAACUGACGCUCAUGCACGACAGCGUGGGGAUCAAACAGG
rnacentral:rRNA from 1 species